GCCCGCCUAGCUCAAUCGGAUAGAGCGUCAGACUCUUAUUAAGGCGGGAUCUGAAGGCUGCGAGUUCGACCCUCGCGGUGGGCU
rfam:Moniliophthora roreri strain MCA 2952 kmer90.96306, whole genome shotgun sequence.